rnacentral:rRNA from 1 species
GACGAACGCUGGCGGCGUGCUUAACACAUGCAAGUCGAGCGGAGCGGCGAACGGGUGAGUAACGCGUGAGUAACUGCCCCCCUCUCUGGGAUAACAGUUGGAAACGGCUGCUAAUACCGGAUAGUGGGGGAUGACUCGCGUCCUAUCAGCUUGUUGGUGGGGUAGGGGCCUACCAAGGCGACGACGGGUAGCCGGCCUGAGAGGGGGACCGGCCAACAUGGGCUUGGGUACGGCCCAAACUCCUACGGGGGGCAAGAGUGGGGAAUAAUGCACAAUGGGGGAAACCCUUGUGCAGCAACGCCGGGGUGGGGAUGGCGGGCUUCCGGUUGUAAACCGCUUUCAGCCAUGACGCGGUAGUGGCAGAAGAAGCACCGGCUAACUACGUGCCAGCAGCCGCGGUAAUAC